rnacentral:rRNA from 1 species
UGGGGAAUAUUGCACAAUGGGCGCAAGCCUGAUGCAGCCAUGCCGCGUGUGUGAAGAAGGCCUUCGGGUUGUAAAGCACUUUCAGCGAGGAGGAAGGUGGUGAGCUUAAUACGCUCAUCAAUUGACGUUACUCGCAGAAGAAGCACCGGCUAACUCCGUGCCAGCAGCCGCGGUAAUACGGAGGGUGCAAGCGUUAAUCGGAAUUACUGGGCGUAAAGCGCACGCAGGCGGUUUGUUAAGUCAGAUGUGAAAUCCCCGGGCUCAACCUGGGAACUGCAUUUGAAACUGGCAAGCUAGAGUCUCGUAGAGGGGGGUAGAAUUCCAGGUGUAGCGGUGAAAUGCGUAGAGAUCUGGAGGAAUACCGGUGGCGAAGGCGGCCCCCUGGACGAAGACUGACGCUCAGGUGCGAAAGCGUGGGGCAGCAAACAGGAUUAGAUACCCUGGUAGUCCACGCUGUAAACGAUGUCGAUUUUGGAGGUUGUGCCCUUGAGGCGUGGCUUCCGGAGCUAACGCGUUAAAUCGACCGCCUGGGGAGUACGGCCGCAAGGUUAAAACUCAAAGGAAUUGACGGGGUC